rnacentral:rRNA from 1 species
AUGGCUUUCAGCAGGAGCAUGGUCCUGAUUACGAUGAGACUUUUGCUCCUGCAAAACUGUGUGCUUGUGGCCUCUGUUCGCCACUGGUUCGUGUCUAGGCUUGAUGUUAAGAAUGUCUUUCUUAAUAGUGAGUUGCGUGAGGUUUACAUACAACCACCACCUGGGUAUUCUACUCCUUACAACAUGCUUAGUCGUCUUCAUCACUCUCUCUAUGGCUUUAAGCAAGCCUCUCGCGCCUGGUUUGAGCGUUUUGCCUCUAUGGUGGAUGUUAUUGGUUUUCAGCGACGUUGUUUGCCCUCCUUUCUGCUCUUGGUAGGACUCUUCUUCAUGUUGAUGACAUGA